CCUGCCAGAGUCGAUAUAAACAAGACACCCAGCCUCCACGUUCACCCACACUCCGCUUCCAUUAUGAAGAUGAGCAGCGUCUCUGCGCUCCCUGUGAUCUUCCUCCUGCUCUUCUUCCACAAGGCACAGCCGGGAGCCCACAAGGCCAUCCAGAAACCUGGACAUUGCCCAGAAUUUUUUCUUUCCUGCCCAUUCGUCCUUUUACCUACGUGCCGGCGCGACAGAGGGUGCAAGGGGCCCAAGAAGUGUUGUUUCUAUAACUGUCGGCGUCAGUGUAUGGAGCCCUGGAUGUCGUUGGAGUGAGGUAGAAACCUCUCUUUAGAGGUUUCUUAAGAAGGCGCAGGGGAGUCCAGGCUCAGACUUGGAUAACUCAUCUCCAGUGCUUCCCUGCAUGCCUCAUUCCACAAGACUUCUUUUUAUCAAGAGUUGAAUGCCUCUCGAUAUGAAAAUGCCACAAAGAAAUAAAGUGUUAUCUAUUUAAAACUACAGGAGAAUCUAUGACUACUGAGUCUCUCUCUCUCUCCCCUGCCCCCCUUCUCUGUCUUCAACCUUUUGUGGGGGAUCCUUCAGUGAUUGUAUAAAAGGAUGGGAUUACUGUUUCACGUUUAGUCUUGGCAAGUGCCUGCACUUCUGUUUUUCUGAUAAGUUUUUUUUUUAAGGCCUCCUGACACUCAGGCUCUCUGUUCGUUACAUUCCCAGGGUAUUUUUGAGUCAGAGUUUCUGUGUUUGGAUGCUAUGAAAGAUGUACAUUCUUAUCCUGAGGUGGGGGGGCAAGUCUCUUCACUGCAUUGUCUCUGGUCUGGCUACUGGUGGCCUUUCCACUUGGGGGAGUUGUAUGAUGGAGGACUAGACUUGGGACUUCAGGAUCGGAAAUGGAGUGGAACUUGGCCUUAGUUCUAAGCUACUUUAGGGUCUAAAAUCUAGGCCUUCAUAAAUUUAGAAAAGGAAAUUCUGCUUAGCAACCUUGAAUCUUAAUUUAAGGGGUCUAAGACCCUAAUCUACCUAAUAAUGAAGUGUUAUUUAGCCAUGCUAAUUUCCUCUCUUUCUGCUUUGUGAUUCUGUCUUGAUUUGGGAUCAGAGAGGGAUUUCAGGUCUUAGAGAGUGUUCUUCAAAAACUGUGUUGUUCUUUUCUACCUUCAUGAACUGUAAAAAUUCCCUUGAUAAAUAGACAAAUAUCAAUUUUCAAAUUUAUGAAAAUUUGAAAUAUAUAUAUAGUAUAAUCUUAAUUAUCCAUCUAGUUAUAACCUUUAAUCACAACAAUAACUUUCUGUUCUCUCACAGAAAGCCAGAAGGCAGGUGACUU